UUAAAACGCCCGUAGUUGGAUCAGCGGAUUUGGAGAACGGUCUGCCGAUGGGCUGUACUGUUCUCCUGUCCUAUUUUCUCUAGUUCGCUCUAGGUGCUCUUCACUGAGUGUCUAGAGUGGCUGGAACUUUUACUUUGAAAAAAUUAGAGCGCUCGAAGCAGGCGUCUCAGCCUGAAUAGUGGUGCAUGGAAUAAUGGAAUAGGACCUCAGUUCUAUUUUGUUGGUUUUCGGAACAUGAGGUAAUGAUUAAGAGGGACAGACGGGGGCAUUCGUAUUGCGACGUUAGAGGUGAAAUUCUUGGAUCGUCGCAAGACGAACUACUGCGAAAGCAUUUGCCAAGAAUGUUUUCAUUAAUCAAGGACGAUAGUUAGAGGUUCGAAGGCGAUCAGAUACCGCCCUAGUUCUAACCGUAAACGAUGUCAACCAGCGAUCCGCAGGAGUUAUUCAUGACUCUGCGGGCAGCUUCCGGGAAACCAAAGUUUUUGGAUUCCGGGGGGAGUAUGGUUGCAAAGCUGAAACUUAAAGGAAUUGACGGAAGGGCACCACCAGGAGUGAGCUGCGGCUUAAUUUGACUCAACGCGGGGAAACUCACCCGGCCCGGACACCGUAAGGAUUGACAGAUUGAGAGCUCUUUCUUGAUUCGGUGGGUGGUGGUGCAUGGCCGUUCUUAGUUGGUGGAGCGAUUUGUCUGGUUAAUUCCGAUAACGAACGAGACUCUAGCCUACUAAAUAGAAGGCAAAUUAUUCGUUUGCUGUACUUCUUAGAGGG
rnacentral:rRNA from 1 species